CACACCUCUCUGUUACACACACCUCUCUCUGUUACACAGUGGAAGGUAACACAUCUCUGUUACACAGUGGAGGGUGUAUCUCUGUUACACAGUGGAAGGUAACACAUCUCUGUUACACACUGGAAGGUAACACAUCUCUGUUACACACUGGAAGGUAACACAUCUCUGUUACACAGUGGAAGGUAACACAUCUCUGUUACACAGUGGAAGGUAACACAUCUCUGUUACACAGUGGAAGGUAACACAUCUCUGUUACACACUGGAAGGUAACACAUCUCUGUUAUACAGUGGAGGGUAACACAUCUCUGUUACACAGUGGAAGGUAACACAUCUCUGUUACAGUGGAAGGUAACACAUCUCUGUUAUACAGUGGAAGGUAACACAUCUCUGUUAUACAGUGGAAGGUAACACAUCUCUGUUAGACACUGGAGGGUAACACAUCUCUGUUACACAGUGGAAGGUAACACAUCUCUGUUACAGUGGAAGGUAACACAUCUCUGUUACAGUGGAAGGUAACACAUCUCUGUUAUACAGUGGAAGGUAACACAUCUCUGUUAGACACUGGAGGGUAACACAUCUCUGUUAUACAGUGGAGGGUAACACAUCUCUGUUACACAGUGGAAGGUAACACAUCUCUGUUACACAGUGGAAGGUAACACAUCUCUGUUACACAGUGGAAGGUAACACAUCUCUGUUACACAGUGGAAGGUAACACAUCUCUGUUACACAGUGGAAGGUAACACAUCUCUGUUACACAGUGGAAGGUAACACAUCUCUGUUACACAGUGGAAGGUAACACAUCUCUGUUACAGUGGAAGGUAACACAUCUCUGUUACACAGUGGAAGGUAACACAUCUCUGUUACACAGUGGAAGGUAACACAUCUCUGUUACACAGUGGAAGGUAACACAUCUCUGUUAUACACUGGAAGGUAACACAUCUCUGUUAUACACUGGAAGGUAACACAUCUCUGUUAUACAGUGGAGGGUAACACAUCUCUCUCUGUUAUACAGUGGAGGGUAACACAUCUCUCUGUUAUACAGUGGAGGGUAACAUCUCUGUUACACAGUGGAGGGUAACACAUCUCUCUGUUACACAGUGGAAGGUAACACAUCUAUGUUACACAGUGGAAGGUAACACAUCUCUGUUACACAGUGGAAGGUAACACAUCUCUGUUACACAGUGGAAGGUAACACAUCUCUGUUACACAGUGGAGGGUAACACAUCUCUCUCUGUUACACAGUGGAAGGUAACACAUCUCUGUUACAGUGAAGGGUAACACAUCUCUCUCUGUUAUACAGUGGAGGUUAACACAUCUCUGUUAUACAGUGGAGGGUAACAUAUCUCUCUCUGUUAUACAGUGGAGGGUAACACAUCUCUCUCUGUUACACAGUGGAGGGUAACACAUCUCUCUCUGUUAUACAGUGGAGGGUAACACAUCUCUCUCUGUUAUACAGUGGAGGGUAACAUCUCUGUUACACAGUGGAGGGUAACACAUCUCUGUUACACAGUGGAAGGUAACACAUCUCUGUUACACAGUGGAAGGUAACACAUCUCUGUUACACAGUGGAAGGUAACACAUCUCUGUUACACAGUGGAAGGUAACACAUCUCUGUUACACAGUGGAAGGUAACACAUCUCUGUUACACAGUGGAAGGUAACACAUCUCUGUUACACAGUGGAAGGUAACACAUCUCUGUUACACAGUGGAAGGUAACACAUCUCUGUUACACAGUGGAAGGUAACACAUCUCUGUUACACAGUGGAAGGUAACACAUCUCUGUUACACAGUGGAAGGUAACACAUCUCUGUUACACACUGGAAGGUAACACAUCUCUGUUACACAGUGUAAGGUAACACAUCUCUGUUACACAGUGGAAGGUAACACAUCUCUGUUACACAGUGGAAGGUAACACAUCUCUGUUACACAGUGGAAGGUAACACAUCUCUGUUACACAGUGGAGGGUAACACAUCUCUGUUACACAGUGGAGGGUAACAUCUCUGUUACACAGUGGAAGGUAACACAUCUCUGUUACACAGUGGAAGGUAACACAUCUCUGUUACACAGUGGAAGGUAACACAUCUCUGUUACACAGUGGAAGGUAACACAUCUCUGUUACACAGUGGAAGGUAACACAUCUCUGUUACACAGUGGAAGGUAACACAUCUCUGUUACACAGUGGAAGGUAACACAUCUCUGUUACACAGUGGAAGGUAACACAUCUCUGUUACACACUGGAAGGUAACACAUCUCUGUUACACAGUGGAAGGUAACACAUCUCUGUUACACAGUGGAAGGUAACACAUCUCUGUUACACAGUGGAAGGUAACACAUCUCUGUUACACAGUGGAAGGUAACACAUCUCUGUUACACAGUGGAAGGUAACACAUCUCUGUUACACAGUGGAAGGUAACACAUCUCUGUUACACAGUGGAGGGUAACACAUCUCUGUUACACAGUGGAGGGUAACAUCUCUGUUACACAGUGGAAGGUAACACAUCUCUGUUACAGUGGAAGGUAACACAUCUCUGUUACACAGUGGAAGGUAACACAUCUCUGUUACACAGUGGAAGGUAACACAUCUGUUACACAGUGGAAGGUAACACAUCUGUUACACAGUGGAGGGUAACACAUCUCUCUCUGUUAUACAGUGGAAGGUAACAUCUCUGUUACACAGUGGAAGGUAACACAUCUCUCUCUGUUACACAGUGGAAGGUAACACAUCUCUGUUAUACAGUGGAAGGUAACACAUCUCUCUCUGUUACACAGUGGAAGGUAACACAUCUCUCUCUGUUAUACAGUGGAAGGUAACACAUCUCUCUCUGUUACACAGUGGAAGGUAACACAUCUCUGUUACACAGUGGAGGGUGUGUUCAUGUAUCUCCUCUCUGUCAGUGAGGUUAUCAGUGGCGCCCCAGUUGUGUUAAUGGAGCUCCUAAAUGGGUCUCCGAUCGUAUCCGUCCACUCUAUCUCCAACGGUUUAGUGUGGAGAGUGGUGGGGGGUGUUACCCUGACCGAGCCACCCUCUCAUCCUCUCUGUGAGGCUAAUACAGCUACUCCCUUCCUGACUCAGAUGGAUUUAAGGGUUUGUCCAAACUGGCACCCUAUUCCCUAUGGGUCCUGGUCAAAAGUAGUGCACUGUGUAGGGAAUAGGGUUCCAUUUGGGAUGUGUUUAAAUGUACCUUAAUACAGCAAUCUGGUGCUGCUAAACAUUCAGUCACGUCUGGCAGGGAGGAGUAUUUGGCAGUGAUGUGGAAUAAGCUAAAACAUUGUCUAGUCUGGCAAGGAGGAGUAUUUGGCAUUGAUGUGGAAUAAGCUAAAACAUUGUCUAGUCUGGGAGGGAGGAGUAUUUGGCAGUGAUGUGGAAUAAGAUAAAACAUUGUCUAGUCUGAGAGGGAGGAGUAUUUGGCAGUGAUGUGGAAUAAGCUAAAACAUUGUCUAGUCUGGGAGGGAGGAGUAUUUGGCAGUGAUGUGGAAUAAGCUAAAACAUUGUCUAGUCUGGGAGGGAGGAGUAUUUGUCAUUGAUGUGGAAUAAGCUAAAACAUUGUCUAGUCUGGGAGGGAGGAGUAUUUGGCAGUGAUGUGGAAUAAGCUAAAACAUUGUCUGGGAGGGAGGAGUAUUUGCAUUGAUGUGGAAUAAGCUAAAACAUUGUCUAGUCUGGGAGGGAGGGAGGAGUAUUUGCAUUGAUGUGGAAUAAGCUAAAACAUUGUCUAGUCUGGGAGGGAGGAGUAUUUGUCAUUGAUGUGGAAUAAGCUAAAACAUUGUCUAGUCUGGGAGGGAGGAGUAUUUGUCAUUGAUGUGGAAUAAGCUAAAACAUUGUCUAGUCUGGGAGGGAGGAGUAUUUGGCAGUGAUGUGGAAUAAGCUAAAACACUCAGUCUAGUCUGGGAGAGAGGAGUAUUUGGCAGUGAUGUGGAAUAAGCUAAAACAUUGUCUAGUCUGGGAGGGAGGAGUAUUUGGCAGUGAUGUGGAAUAAGCUAUCAGGAGGCUUCUGCUUCUGUAUCGGCGUUUCAUCUGUCAUUAAUUACUUAGGCGGGGUGGCCUCCCCUGUCAAACUCUGAUGCACCCAGCCUUUAUCUAGAGGAAACACUGGUCUGUCUAGUUCUAAGUUCCGUACCUCUG